GGCCACAGCAGCCAGGUAACUGCUGCAGACUUUCAUAUCUGUGCACUUACUUGUGACUGUGAAGCAAAGUUCCCCAUCUCCUGGGUAUUAAAGUAUCGUGAAGUAUAUAUACCUAAGACCUUGUAAUGAUUGCAUGUGCACGUGUGCUACAUCCGUUUAAAGAGAGAAAAAAGAAAACGAAAAAAAGAACAAAUUGAUGAUAUCCCAACAGCUGUGUGGGGGUUAAUGUUGAGAUUAGAGAGAGAGAGUUUAUGCGCUGAUGGAGGUUGGCCAUGGCCCUCAUGGCUGCAGUGGUCUCCAGUGUGUGCUAAAAGGAGCAUGGUUAGAGUAGUAUCUGACUAUUUCAGAAAUGUGAAAGCUUUCUAGUCCGUUGGAAACAUUUCUGGAUAAUUGAACUCAUUUAUGCUUCAGCAAGAAUGAUAUAACUUGCUGUAGAAAUACUCUAAAAUGGCAUGAAGUAUUCCCAGAGAGAGCUUCUGACCAUAUCCAAAUAUGGUACAUCCUAAUCAAAGGCCUUUGGGGUGGUGCCAAUGUUCAACAACAAAAGUCGAGUGCAGUACUCCAGGCAGCUCUUAAGCUACCAGUAAAACCUAGCCUGUUCAAUGUUAGUCCAAGUAUAACAGAGGUCUGAAUUCUGGACAGGGCUGCUAUAUUACAGCUGAUCAACAACUUGAAGGCCGGCUAGAGUCAAGGAUUUCUUGUGGACGAUCCAACUAUUUGAGAGACAAGAAACCGUAAACUCCAAGAAAUUUUCAAAUAACUGAAAAAUAAAGAAAAAAUUAAAAAAACCCAAAGAAGGUUUAGAAUGGAAAAAAAAAAGAAAAAAGUAAGUG